ensembl:snRNA U6 U6 spliceosomal RNA
GUGCUCGCUUCGGCAGCACAUAUACGAAAAAUUGGAACGAUACAGAGAAGAUUAGCAUGGCCCAUGCGCAAGGAUGACAUGCAAAUGUGUGAAGUGUUUUU